UACAGAGGGUGCAAGCGUUGUUCGGAUUUACUGGGCGUAAAGGGCGCGUAGGCGGUCGUGACAAGUCACUUGUGAAAUCUCCGGGCUUAACUCGGAACGGUCAAGUGAUACUGUCGGACUAGAGUACAGAAGGGGCAACUGGAAUUCUCGGUGUAGCGGUGAAAUGCGUAGAUAUCGAGAGGAACACCUGCGGCGAAGGCGGGUUGCUGGGCUGAUACUGACGCUGAGGCGCGAAAGCCAGGGGAGCGAACGGG
rnacentral:rRNA from 1 species